AGUGAACGCUGGCGGCGUGCUUAACACAUGCAAGUCGAACGAGAACGGAUUAUAGCUUGCUAUAAUUGUCAGCUAAGUGGCGCACGGGUGCGUAAUGUAUAGGUAAUAUGCCUCUUACUAAGGGAUAACAAAUGGAAACGUUUGCUAAUACCUUAUACUCCUUAUUAACAGAAGUUAAUAAGGGAAAGAUUUAUUGGUAAGAGAUUAGCCUGUAUUGUAUCAGUUAGUUGGUGGGGUAAUGGCUUACCAAGACUAUGACACAUAACUGGUUUGAGAGGAUGAUCAGUCACACUGGAACUGAGACACGGUCCAGACGCCUACGGGAGGCAGCAGUGGGGAAUAUUGCACAAUGGACGAAAGUCUGAUGCAGCAACGCCGCGUGGAGGAUGACACAUUUCGGUGCGUAAACUCCUUUUAUAUGAGAAGAUAAUGACGGUAUUAUAUGAAUAAGCACCGGCUAACUCCGUGCCAGCCGCCGCAGUAA
rnacentral:rRNA from 1 species